rnacentral:rRNA from 1 species
AUUGAACGCUGGCGGCAGGCUUAACACAUGCAAGUCGAGCGGAGCGAGGGUGCUUGCACCUUAGCUUAGCGGCGGACGGGUGAGUAAUGCUUAGGAAUCUGCCUAUUAGUGGGGGACGACAUUCCGAAAGGAAUGCUAAUACCGCAUACGCCCUACGGGGGAAAGCAGGGGAUCUUCGGACCUUGCGCUAAUAGAUGAGCCUAAGUCGGAUUAGCUAGGUGGUGGGGUAAAGGCCUACCAAGGCGACGAUCUGUAGCGGGUCUGAGAGGAUGAUCCGCCACACUGGGACUGAGACACGGCCCAGACUCCUACGGGAGGCAGCAGUGGGGAAUAUUGGACAAUGGGCGGAAGCCUGAUCCAGCCAUGCCGCGUGUGUGAAGAAGGCCUUUUGGUUGUAAAGCACUUUAAGCGAGGAGGAGGCUACUUAGAUUAAUACUCUGGGAUAGUGGACGUUACUCGCAGAAUAAGCACCGGCUAACUCUGUGCCAGCAGCCGCCGUAA